AGACACCAAACCCACUGACAAGGAGGCAGCUUUUGAGCCAAAUUGCUGGACUGUACGACCCCAUUGGCUUCGUUACACCUAUCAAACAAAAGGGUGCAAUUCUCGUCAGAAAAGCUUUUCAAGAAGCAGGCGCAGGAAAACUAAACUGUGAAACAUGGGACAAGGCUCUUUCAGCAGGCUUAAGAGAAGAAGCUAUACAACUAUUCGAAGAGUACGUGCAGCUUGAACAGAUAAUGUUCCACAGGUGUAUCACGCCAAAUGACUGGGAAGGGGAGCCUUUUGGAGUCACAUUCUCAGAUGGGAGCGAUAAGACAUAUGGAGCUGUGAUUUAUCUAAGAUGGAACACAAAGACAGGUGUUAAAGUGCGAUUGGUAGAAUCAAAGGCCAAGCUGACACCCCUCAAUCAAAAAGGAGAUGCUGUCAAAGCCGAAAUGUGUGGAGCAGUCUUUGCAGCCAGGCUAAGAAAGUAUGUGGAGAAACAAAGUCGGAUGAAGAUAAGCAGAUGGUUCCAUUUAGUUGACAGCCAAACCAUCCUGGGGGCAAUUCAAAGGGAAAGCUAUGGGUACCAAACUUUCUUUGCCAACAGGGUGGGUGAAAUCCAAAGAAUUUGCCCAGUAGAAGAUUGGUGGUGGAUUCCUGGCAAAUACAACAUUGCAGACAUCAUCACGAGGGGAAGCAUCCUCGAUGAAUUAAAAGAUCACUCCACUUGGCAAAAUGGGCCAGAAUUCCUUAAAGUACCGGUGGAGGAGUGGCCCAUAAAAUCGGCUCGGGAGGUUGCAGCACAAGCCAGGGAAGAGGUAAACAAGCUCCAGAGAAAAACAUUUUCUGCCACAUUGACGAGUGAGAAUGUAAAGGUGUUCCCAAAGGCUUCGGAGCAAAUGUAUCCCGAAAACAUUUCUGCAAAAACAGAGAAAUAUUAUCUCCUAACCAGACGGCAGCCCGCUGGUCAUGCAAUUCCGAACCUUGUAGAUGUAAGGAAAUUCAGUAGCUUGGCAAGAUUGGUCAAGGUGGUUGGUCUUGUUUGGCGUGCCGCAAAAAAAUGGCAAGCAAUGAAAACAAAACAAGGUAGUGCUCAGCCAAAGUGGGAGGCCAAAACGCUCAAAGAAAGUGCCAAAAAAGUUGUGCUUACUACGGGAGAACGUGAAGAUGUGAUGAGAGAUCUUUUCCUUGCAGCUCAGGAAAACGUAAUUUUCCCAGCUACAACCUUAAACAGGUUGGUUGUAUAUAAAGAUAAGGAUACUGGACUCUUGAUGUGUGGAGGGAGAGUACAAUGGUUUAAUGAAGAUAAAACCUGCGUCCCAAUUUUAUCACAUGAGGCUUGGGUCUCAACAUUGUUGGCCUGGGAAGCUCACAACGCCAAUCAUGAGGGAAUUGCAGGAACACUACUGAGAAUGAGGAAAAAAGCCUGGGUGAUUAAAGGGAGAAGACUAGCUAAACAUGUAGUAAACUCAUGUUGUGUCUGCAGAAAGAUGAGGGCAAAAUACUGCCAACAAGUCAUGAGUGACCUCCCACCUGAACGGACAAAUCCUGCAAACCCAUUUCAGUAUACAUGUCUUGAUCUCUUUGGCCCUUAUGAAGUAAGAGAUGAAGUCAAAAAAAGGGUAAAACUCAAGGUCUGGGGAGUAGUUUUCAGCUGCAUGGCU
ensembl:lncRNA